rnacentral:rRNA from 1 species
GACGAACGCUGGCGGCAUGCCUAAUACAUGCAAGUCGAGCGGAAUGACGAGAGCUUGCUCUCUGAUUUUUAGCGGCGGACGGGUGAGUAACACGUGGGCAACCUGCCCUACAGAUGGGGAUAACUCCGGGAAACCGGGGCUAAUACCGAAUAAUCAGUUUGUCCGCAUGGACAAACUCUGAAAGACGGUUUCGGCUGUCACUGUAGGAUGGGCCCGCGGCGCAUUAGCGAGUUGGUGGGGUAAUGGCCUACCAAGGCGACGAUAGUUAUCCGGCCUAAGAGGGUGAACGGACACACUGGGACUGAGAUACGGCCCAG